GCCCUAGUGCACAUCGUUUGUGUGGCCUUGCGCUUUUUUGCUAGUGGAGCCUUCCUGUACUCAGUGGGGGAUGCAGAACAGCUGAACAAGGCCACAAUUUGCCGCACAAUAAGGAGUGUGUGUCUGGCUAUCAAAGCAUUAGCAGAUGUCUUCAUCUCCUUCCCUGGCCACAGAAGACUCUGUGACAUGAAAGAGGAGUUCUAUAGGAUUGCAGGUUUCCCCAAUGUCAUUGGUGCAGUGGACUGCACACACAUAAGGAUAAAAGCCCCCUCAGGUGCCCAUGAGGCCGAUUUUGUGAAUAGGAAAUCCUUUCACAGCAUUAAUGUUCAGAUGGUCUGCAAUGCUGACUGAGUGAUCAGCAAUGUUGUGGCAAAAUGGCCUGGCUCAGUCCAUGACUCCAGAAUCUUUCGGGCCUCUGAAAUCUAUCAGUGCCUAUCACAAGGUGAAUUCUCUGGUGUGUUGCUGGGAGACAGGGGGUAUGGCCGCCAGCCUUUUCUCCUGACACCUUUCACAGACCCCCAGGAAGCACAGCAGGCCUACAACCAUGCCCAUGCCAGGACCAGGGCCAGAGCUGAAAUGACCUUUGGCCUCCUGAAGGCACGCUUUCACUGCCUUCACAAAUUAAGGGUCAACCUUAAUUCUCAUGUGAUAUUACUGUGGCUUGUGCUGUCCUCCACAAUGUGGCCUGCCUGAGGAAGGAGAGGGCCCCCAGAGUGCCACCAGCCAUGGACUGGGACAAUCUUCCCUGAUGACGACAGUGGUCGGCUGCUGAGGGACCAAUAUGUGUUGAAUUAUUUUAGUUGGUAUGUGUGCUUUCAAUUUAGGUAAAAAAUGUCCUGCUGUGGCAGAGGAAAUAGGGUUUUUUUGGGUUGUUUUUUUUUACGAAUUUGGCCUCUUAUGAUGUUUGUGCGGUAUACUGUGUGUAAUACAAGGCUGCAGGGAGGCUACUGCAUCCAUUCAUUUGUCUGUUCAGCUGAUGUGUAUGGAUUUGUCCUGCAUUUAUUUUAGUGUGCAGACAUGCAGGGUGUGUUAUAUACAGACCUUUGAAUGUGUAUGUAUCAUUUUGUAUAAUAUGCUUUGAUUCUGUGCUUUCCAUCUUGUAGAGUCACUGUGACUUCAGUUUCGAAAGGAGCUGAUAGUUUACCUGCUUUGUUUUGUCCUUAUUCAAUAAAGGAACAUAAUGUUA